GAUCAUGGCUCAGGAUGAACGCUAGCGACAGGCCUAACACAUGCAAGUCGAGGGGCAGCGCGGGAGAAGCUUGCUUUCCUGGCGGCGACCGGCGCACGGGUGCGUAACAGGUGUGCAAUCUGUCCAUAGUCGGGGGAUAGCCCAGCGAAAGCUGAAUUAACACUCCAUGUGAAUCGAAGCCGCAUGACUUUGAUUUGAAACGCAAGGACUAUGGGUGAGCACGCUUCUGAUUAGGUAGUUGGUGGGGUAACGGCCCACCAAGCCGACGAUCAGUAGGGGUUCUGAGAGGAAGGUCCCCCACAUUGGAACUGAGACACGGUCCAAACUCCUACGGGAGGCAGCAGUGAGGAAUAUUGGUCAAUGGGCGAGAGCCUGAACCAGCCAAGUCGCGUGAAGGAUGAAGGUUCUAUGGAUUGUAAACUUCUUUUGUCCGAGGGUAAAAAAGGUCACGUGUGACUUCUUGCAAGUAUCGGACGAAUAAGCAUCGGCUAACUCCGUGCCAGCCGCGGC
rnacentral:rRNA from 1 species